rnacentral:rRNA from 1 species
CUCGUAGGCGGUUCGUCGCGUCCGGUGUGAAAGUCCAUCGUUUAACGGUGGAUCCGCGCCGGGUACGGGCGGGCUUGAGUGCGGUAGGGGAGACUGGAAUUCCCGGUGUAACGGUGGAAUGUGUAGAUAUCGGGAAGAACACCAAUGGCGAAGGCAGGUCUCUGGGCCGUCACUGACGCUGAGGAGCGAAAGCGUGGGGAGCAAACA